rnacentral:rRNA from 1 species
UACGAAGGGGGCUAGCGUUGCUCGGAAUCACUGGGCGUAAAGCGCACGUAGGCGGAUUGUUAAGUCAGGGGUGAAAUCCUGGAGCUCAACUCCAGAACUGCCUUUGAUACUGGCGAUCUCGAGUCCGGGAGAGGUGAGUGGAACUCCGAGUGUAGAGGUGAAAUUCGUGGAUAUUCGGAAGAACACCAGUGGCGAAGGCGGCUCACUGGCCCGGUACUGACGCUGAGGAGCGAAAGCGUGGGGAGCGAACAGG